rnacentral:rRNA from 1 species
UCCGUAGGUGAACCUGCGGAAGGAUCAUUACAAUUUUGGGACACUGAGACGCUCUCGGGCGCUUUGGUGUCACCAAUCGAGAUACCAACCCAUGUCUUUUGAGCACCUUACGUUUCCUCGGCAGGCUCGCCUGCCAAUGGGGACCACUUUAAAACCCAUUUAUGUAUACAGUAAACGUCUACAAACAAAUGAAAUCAAAACUUUCAACAACGGAUCUCUUGGUUCUGGCAUCGAUGAAGAACGCAGCGAAAUGCGAUAAGUAGUGUGAAUUGCAGAAUUCAGUGAAUCAUCGAAUCUUUGAACGCACAUUGCGCCCUUUGGUAUUCCUUAGGGCAUGCCUGUUCGAGCGUCAUCUAAACCCUCAAGCACUGCUUGGUGUUGGGCGUCUUUGUCCCGCCUCUGGCGUGGGCUCGCCUCAAAAUCAUUGGCGGCCUGUGUAUUGGCUUCGAGCGCAGCAGACUCGCGCCUCGUCUCCUUUAGCAUAGGUGUCCAGCAAGCCUCACCCACUAAGUUUGACCUCGGAUCAGGUAGGGAUACCCGCUGAACUUAAGCAUAUCAAUAAGCGGAGGA